AGGGGUGAAAGACUCAUGUGUGCCAUCCUGCAGGCAAGGUCACUGUCUCAGAGCCAUGGCCCAGCUGUAGGGUGAAGGGAGGAGGAUGGGAGCAUGACAGCCCUGUGAGCCCAGGCGGGAAGGCUGGCAGGUGCUGCAUGGCCUGGGCUACCUCCCAUAGUUCCCAGUGCAGCUGGGUGACAUCUACCCGAAGCUGGGAUAGUAGGUCCCUGAGGCGAGUGCCCAAGGUGAGGACUGGCCUGAUGGGUGGAGGGAACCUUGGAUGCUCCGAAGCACCCACUCCAGCCCAGCUCCCCCCCCGGUGUCUGGUGAUCAAUAUCACUACAGUGCCCAUAUCCCCACCUUGGCUCCGGUCCUUGGGAGUGCUGGGGUUCUGAGGCCCUUCACACAGGGCGGUACCCUCAGGGCCCAUCACAAGGUGCUGGGGCCGCUAAGGUUCAAGGUUCAGUGACCUCCA
rnacentral:lncRNA from 1 species